rnacentral:misc_RNA from 1 species
CAAGACGUCAAGAGGGUCCCUUCACUACAUGACCGCAACAACAUGAAAGAAAUGAUAGAAAAUAAGAAAUAAAAGGAAAAGCAAAAAAACAUGAAAGGGAAGGCAAAACAAGAACCUUUUGAAGGAGCUUGAGCUACUCUCUUUCACGUCUGAUGUCUCCCUCUUAUUUCUCUCUUUCAACUCUCUUCUUCCCUCUUUCUUUUUCUCUUUGAAAUUUCUUCACAGCCCCAUCACUACAACCAAUCCCACAUCCCCAUUCAAACAACUUCAAUUCCCAGAGUCGAGCGAGAAUGAAUACCACACAGAAGAGUCAAGACCAGGCCACGGAUUACAAUCUCUAGUGAACAUCGAUCUUUCCUGCGAGGACUUACCUAUUAACAGACAGAAGAGUCUUGCAGCCUCCCUCGAUCAAGACCUGCUACAUCGUGAGAAAUCUCUUCAACCGUAUCAACUAUAUCAAUGACGAUAGUGCCGGCCAGGUGAAUGAAACCGCCCAGCUCAUGGAUGAGCCAUAAGAGUUCCCACACAUCGUUAUGACUGGCAAACAGUUCCGAGACUAAGUAGUUCCUAGCUCAAUGGAUAGUUACUGUCAGUGAUCCAUGGAUAUAG